GCCACUAUGUCAUUUGUCACUUUAACAGACUCAGAGCAUAGCAGGUGGCCUGGUGGCUUUUGCCUUAGAGCCAGCGCCACAGCCCUUGCUCACUUUAGACUUUUUUGUGCUUUCUGAAUCUGGAGCUCCCCAUAGUGUUAACCAGAUAAACACCCAACUAAACGGGAGGCCGGAGGGGGAAGAGUACCAUAGUUUUCAAAACAAGUUGUCUCUGGGAGCAGGGGGCAGCCACACUGGAAUCUUAGAGUCCCUCAAGCUUGUGGGAAACUCCUGCCAGGCCAGUUUCCCGCUAGUGGAAAACUCAGUUCCGACAGGUGUCCACCCCUUGCUGAGUGGCCUCGGCUGAUUUGGGUGGGGUGGCAUUGGCGUCAUCCAGAAGGGAGUGGCCAUGCUGACAUCCUGGAAGAGGCUAGCUGGUGCCAGGUCUCGGGUCCCAUCUGUUCUGUGUCCUGGCUUCUCAAGAGUCCUUCAUGUGCUCUUUUUUAGAAUGUAAAAGAAUAUUAAUUAUAAAAUAAUAUCACAGAAAGUUUAGAAAACAGGAUAAAGGGGAGAAAAAACUGACUCAUAAUCCCUAUGUGGCAGUUCCUUUUUUUUCAUUUCCUCCUGAAGUCUUUUUUAUAUGCAUAUUUUAUUGCCUGGUUUUUAUAUUUGUGAAUAUUUCAUUCCAUGUAUACUUUUCUCAGUUAUCAUUAUACCACAAGCUUUUACCCAUAUCUUGUUUUUUUCCCCCCCAGCUUUACUGAGAUAUAAUUGGCAUAUAACUCCUUACAUCUUGUGCUUAAAGUUUCUGGUAGGGGUGUAAUAUUUCUUUUGAGGAUUGAUUGAUUGAUUGAUUUUUCUUAUAUAUUUCAUGAAGUGAUCCCCCCAAUUAUGCUAGCACGCAUCUAGCACUACACACAGCCAUUACAAUAAUUCUUUUGGGGAUUUAUAAUCUACUAAUUAUUUCUCUACUUCUGGACAUGCAGAAUGCUUUUUGUGUGUGUGUUUAUAAAUAAUACUGAGAUGAACGUCUUUUUUUCUGUGUUUUGGGUUCUUUCCUUAGGAUAGCUUUGCAGGAAUGGAUCAUUAGAUGAAACCUAAGAACAUCUGUGUGGCUCUUGAAAUAUUGGAGAUUCUUCUAGUCAACCAGAAUAUUUGAAGUGACCCCAGUUCAUUCUCUAGGCCCUUGACCCUUUGAGCCAUGGUUCCAAUCCCAAAAUGUGUCUGUAAAUUGAGUCCAAAGAAACAUAAAUCCAGCCUAUGCCACUGAUAGUUUAAAAAAAGGUGGGGAGGCAGAGACCUUCGGGAGACUCGACAAGUCCAGGCUUCAGUACUGUAGCCCAAAUUCAUUCCUUCAGUCACAGGAUUCAUAAGCAUAACAUUCUUCAGAUGAAGAAAUGGAGGCUCAGAGGGGCCGGGAAGUUUGUACAGUGUCACACAGCUGGUUUUGCCCUGGUUAAACUCUGUUCUGUUAACAUUGUUCUUUCUGUUCUGGUGCUCUUUACUUCUGUAAUGAUGUGUUAAUUAUCGCUCCCGCCUACCAGACUGUUAGUCCCACCAUAUCCCCAGUGCCUGGCACUUUGUAGUAGAAUGAAUGAAUGAGCCAAACAAAAGAGCUAGUGGGUUUUAUCAGAUCAUUAAAAGGAUCUGUAAGUCAAAAAAGGUUAAGUAGGAAAGAAUGUGGGUUUGGGGUUAGAAAGAGUUUAAGUGUUGUUUCUGGUUCUGUCAUUAACAUACCAAGUGAUCAAGAAUAAGAAUCUUUAAUAUUUCUUGAGUGUUUCUGAUAUAUCAAGUUCUGUGCUAGGGAUUUUAAAUGUAUCAACUCUUUUAUUCCUCUUAACAACCUCUUGAGAUAGGACGGGUGUUAUCUCCAUUUCACAAAUGAGGAUAUUGAAACAGAGAGAGGGAGUCAAAAGCUACUGAUCAGCAGAGGCUGCUGUGGACCCAGGGGACUCCAGCCUGCCCUCCUCACCACACUCCUCUUGCGUCUCUCCAGGCGGCCUGUUUCCUCAUGGGUAAAGGGCAGGUGGAUGGAUUAAAAAUGCCCAUUGUGCAGGCUUGUCCUGUGGAGCAGGAGAGACCACAUAUGUAAAGCAUACUUCUCAGGGCAGGACCAUGUCUGUGUGUUCACCACCGUGAACCCAGAUGCUGGCGCAGUGUUGGCCCAUAGUAUGUGCUUAGUAAAUACCUUGUUGGAAGGAAGUUCAUACCCAAGAAAUGACAUUUUUUCAUUACUUGCUUGUUUCAAGCAUUGUGGAGUUCAGAACCUUAUGGGCUUGCUCUUUGGCAAUGGCCUGUAAGACUCAGACACUCAGGGACAGCCAAGUCCUCAUCCUUAGAGGGCAGGUUUGGGUUCAGGAAACUGCUGCUUGUUUUUGUGCCAAAUAUGAAUAGACUCAAAAUUCCUAGGCGAAACUUUUGAUCUGAACUGACUUAGUAAUGAGUCAGUAAGGAUACAGAUUUGUCUUUGCAUGACCCAUAAACAGGCUCUAGAGAGAAUUUCCAAAAAAGAGUACAGAAGUAUUUUGGAUCCCUAGUCUUGUCUUCGGUAUAAGCAUAUAGCCUUUCCCAGAAUAAUUACUUUGAGAAGUACUUUCAUUUGGAGAACUAAGUCCUGAAUGGUUUGUUAAAAAUAAUUAGCCUCAGUGGUUUAGGAACAAUAUAGUUGAUUCCUCGGGACAGUUUUCCUAAAACCUGACCAUACCUAGCAUUGAAUCCAUCCAAAGCAAGGAGAAGUGGAAGAAAUGUCAUCUGGGAAUUUCACUGCAGUGACAGCUAAAAACAACAAUAACAAACUAAAAUAACAAAAAAUAAACAAACUAGUUCUCAAAGUGUGGUCCGGGAACCCAUCAGGGGAUUCGUGAGAACUUUCAGAAGGUUCGCAGUGUCAGAACUAGAUAUCUUUGUGGUACUCAAAUGUCAUUUGCUUUUUUCACUGUCAUUCUCUCACAGUGGCAUUUCCCAGAGGCUAUGUAAUGUGUGAUGACAUCAUUCCUCUAGUAGUGGCUAAUGAGAGGCGUUUUUUGUUUUUUUUUUUAAAUAACAGUUUUAUUGACCUACCAUUCCAAUUCACCCAAUUCAAGUAUACAAUUAAAGUUUUUAGUACAUUUACAGAGUUGCAUGACAAUCAACAUAAUUUUAGAGUAUUUUUAUCAUUCUGAAAGGAAAAAUUGUACCCAUUAGCAGUCAUUCCUCAUUCCAGUUCUCCCAGCCUGAGGCAACCAUGAAUCUGUUUUCCAUCUCCGUAAAUUUGCCUAUUCUGGACAAUGCAUAUACGUAGAAUCAGGUUAUGUCAGAGAUGUCAGUCUUAAAACAGAGAUGUCAGUUAUUCGAUUUUAAGUCAUUUAUGUCUGGCUUCUUUCAUGUAGCAUCAUGUUUUCAAGGUUCAUCCAUGCUGUAACAUGUGUCAGUACUUCCUUUUUAUUGCUGAGUGAUAUUCAGUUUUAUGGAUAUACUACAUUUUAUUUAUCCAUUCAUCAGCUGAUGGACAUUUGGAUUGUCCUCACUUUUGGGCUAGUGUGAAUAGUGCUAUCUUAAACAUUUAUGUACAGGUUUUCAUUUCUCUUGGGUAUAUAUAUGCUAUCUCUUAUGUUGAACAUUUUUUGAAGAACUGCUAGACUUUUCCAAAGUAGCUGUACCAUUUUAUAUUCCCCUUGGGAGUGUAUGAGGGUUCCAGUUUUUCCAUAUCCUCAUCAACAUUUGUUAUCUGACUUUCUGAUUCUAGACAUCCUAGCAAGUGUGAAGUAGUAUCUCAUUGUGGUUUUGAUUUGCAUUUCCCUGAUGACUAAUGAUGUUGAACAUCUUUUCAUAUGCUUAUUCGCCAUUUGUAUAUCUUCUUCACAGGACUGUCUUUUCAGAUCAUUUGCUAAUUUUUAAAUUGGGUUAUUUGUCUUUAUAUAUUCUAGAUACAAGUUCCUAAUCAAAUAUGUGCUUUGCAAAAACUUUUCCUGUUCUGUGGGCUAUCUUUUCACUUUCUUGAUGGUUCUUUUGAAGCAUAAACACUUUUAAUUUUGAUGAUGUCUGAUUUAUCUAUUUUCUUUUGCACUUGUGUAUGUUUGUGAUUGAAAAAUUUCUCAGUUUUAAAGCACAAUGUGAUAUCACUACACAACUAUCAGUAUGGCUAAAAUAAAAAGUGGCAAUAACACCAAAUUGUGCUAAAGAUGUAGAGAAAAUGGAUCAAGCUGGUGGUAAUGUGGAAUGGUUCAGUUGCUCUAGAAAAUAAUAUGUCAGUUUCUUUCUUUUUAAAAAAACAACUUUAGUGAGAUAUAAUUCACAUUACAGUUCACCCAUUUGAAAUGUACUGGUAGAGUCUUAUAAAACUAAACACGUGCUUAUCAUGUGGCCCGCCAGUUGUCAUUUGGUAAUUUAUUCUAAAAGAAAUAAAACUUAGCUUCACACGAAAA